UACGUAGGGUCCGAGCGUUAAUCGGAAUUACUGGGCGUAAAGCGUGCGCAGGCGGUUAUGCAAGACAGAUGUGAAAUCCCCGGGCUCAACCUGGGAACUGCAUUUGUGACUGCAUGGCUAGAGUACGGUAGAGGGGGAUGGAAUUCCGCGUGUAGCAGUGAAAUGCGUAGAUAUGCGGAGGAACACCGAUGGCGAAGGCAAUCCCCUGGACCUGUACUGACGCUCAUGCACGAAAGCGUGGGGAGCAAACAGG
rnacentral:rRNA from 1 species